rnacentral:rRNA from 1 species
CCUACGGGAGGCACCAGUGGGGAAUAUUGGACAAUGGGCGAAAGCCUGAUCCAGCAAUGCCGCGUGUGUGAAGAAGGUCUUCGGAUUGUAAAGCACUUUCGACGGGGACGAUGAUGACGGUACCCGUAGAAGAAGCCCCGGCUAACUUCGUGCCAACAGCCGCGGUAAUACGAAGGGGGCUAGCGUUGCUCGGAAUGACUGGGCGUAAAGGGCGCGUAGGCGGUUUAUGCAGUCAGAUGUGAAAUCCCCGGGCUUAACCUGGGAACUGCAUUUGAGACGCAUAGACUAGAGGUCGAGAGGGUUGUGGAAUUCCCAGUGUAGAGGUGAGAUUCGUAGAUAUUGGGAAGAACACCGGUGGCGAAGGCGGCAACCUGGCUCGAUACUGACGCUGAGGCGCGAAAGCGUGGGGAGCAAACAGGAUUAGAUACCCUUGUAGUC